UACGUAGGGUGCAAACGUUGCUCGGAAUCAUUGGGCGUAAAGCGCACGUAGGCGGUCUGUUAUGUCGGAUGUGAAAGCCCUCGGCUCAACUGAGGAAGUGCAUCCGAAACUGGCAGGCUAGAGUACUAAAGAGGGUCGCGGAAUUCCCGGUGUAGAGGUGAAAUUCGUAGAGAUGUGGAGGAAUACCGAUGGCGAAGGCAGCCCCCUGGGCCAAUACUGACGCUCAUGCACGAAAGCGUGGGGAGCAAACAGG
rnacentral:rRNA from 1 species